UACGUAGGGCGCAAGCGUUAUCCGGAAUUAUUGGGCGUAAAGAGCUCGUAGGCAGUUUGUCGCGUCUGCCGUGAAAGUCCGGGGCUCAACUCCGGAUCUGCGGUGGGUACGGGCAGACUAGAGUGCGGUAGGGGAGAAUGGAAUUCCCGGUGUAGCGGUGAAAUGCGCAGAUAUCGGGAGGAACACCGGUGGCGAAGGCGGUUCUCUGGGCCUUACCUGACGCUGAGGAGCGAAAGCGUGGGGAGCAAACAGG
rnacentral:rRNA from 1 species